rnacentral:rRNA from 1 species
UGGGGAAUAUUCCACAAUGGGCGAAAGCCUGAUGCAGCGACGCCGCGUGAGGGAUGACGGCCUUCGGGUUGUAAACCUCUUUCAGUAGGGACGAAGCGCAAGUGACGGUACCUGCAGAAGAAGCACCGGCUAACUACGUGCCAGCAGCCGCGGUAAUACGUAGGGUGCGAGCGUUGUCCGGAAUUACUGGGCGUAAAGAGCUCGUAGGCGGUUUGUAACGUCGUCUGUGAAAUCCUAGGGCUUAACCCUGGACGUGCAGGCGAUACGGGCUGACUUGAGUACUACAGGGGAGACUGGAAUUUCUGGUGUAGCGGUGGAAUGCACAGAUAUCAGGAAGAACACCGAUGGCGAAGGCAGGUCUCUGGGUAGUAACUGACGCUGAGGAGCGAAAGCAUGGGUAGCGAACAGG